GGGUUGUGAGGUUAAGCGACUAAGCGUACACGGUGGAUGCCCUGGCAGUCAGAGGCGAUGAAGGGCGUGCUAAUCUGCGAUAAGCGCCGGUAAGGUGAUAUGAACCGUUAUAACCGGCGAUACCCGAAUGGGGAAACCCAGUGUGAUUCGUCACACUAUCAUUAACUGAAUCCAUAGGUUAAUGAGGCGAACCGGGGGAACUGAAACAUCUAAGUACCCCGAGGAAAAGAAAUCAACCGAGAUUCCCCCAGUAGCGGCGAGCGAACGGGGAGGAGCCCAGAGCCUGAAUCAGCAUGUGUGUUAGUGGAAGCGUCUGGAAAGGCGCGCGAUACAGGGUGACAGCCCCGUACACAAAAGCGCAUGUGCUGUGAGCUCGAUGAGUAGGGCGGGACACGUGGUAUCCUGUCUGAAUAUGGGGGGACCAUCCUCCAAGGCUAAAUACUCCUGACUGACCGAUAGUGAACCAGUACCGUGAGGGAAAGGCGAAAAGAACCCCGGCGAGGGGAGUGAAAAAGAACCUGAAACCGUGUACGUACAAGCAGUGGGAGCACCCUUUUGGGUGUGACUGCGUACCUUUUGUAUAAUGGGUCAGCGACUUAUAUUCUGUAGCAAGGUUAACCGUAUAGGGGAGCCGGAGGGAAACCGAGUCUUAACCGGGCGUUAAGUUGCAGGGUAUAGACCCGAAACCCGGUGAUCUAGCCAUGGGCAGGUUGAAGGUUGGGUAACACUAACUGGAGGACCGAACCGACUAAUGUUGAAAAAUUAGCGGAUGACCUGUGGCUGGGGGUGAAAGGCCAAUCAAACCGGGAGAUAGCUGGUUCUCCCCGAAAGCUAUUUAGGUAGCGCCUCGUGAAUUCAUCUCCGGGGGUAGAGCACUGUUUCGGCUAGGGGGCCAUCCCGGCUUACCAACCCGAUGCAAACUGCGAAUACCGGAGAAUGUUAUCACGGGAGACACACGGCGGGUGCUAACGUCCGUCGUGAAGAGGGAAACAACCCAGACCGCCAGCUAAGGUCCCAAAGUCAUGGUUAAGUGGGAAACGAUGUGGGAAGGCCCAGACAGCCAGGAUGUUGGCUUAGAAGCAGCCAUCAUUUAAAGAAAGCGUAAUAGCUCACUGGUCGAGUCGGCCUGCGCGGAAGAUGUAACGGGGCUAAACCAUGCACCGAAGCUGCGGCAGCGACGUUUAUGUGUUGUUGGGUAGGGGAGCGUUCUGUAAGCCUGCGAAGGUGGCCUGUGAGGGUUGCUGGAGGUAUCAGAAGUGCGAAUGCUGACAUAAGUAACGAUAAAGCGGGUGAAAAGCCCGCUCGCCGGAAGACCAAGGGUUCCUGUCCAACGUUAAUCGGGGCAGGGUGAGUCGACCCCUAAGGCGAGGCCGAAAGGCGUAGUCGAUGGGAAACGGGUUAAUAUUCCCGUACUUGGUGUUACUGCGAAGGGGGGACGGAGAAGGCUAUGUUGGCCGGGCGACGGUUGUCCCGGUUUAAGCGUGUAGGCUGGUUUUCCAGGCAAAUCCGGAAAAUCAAGGCUGAGGCGUGACGACGAGGCACUACGGUGCUGAAGCAACAAAUGCCCUGCUUCCAGGAAAAGCCUCUAAGCAUCAGGUAACAUCAAAUCGUACCCCAAACCGACACAGGUGGUCAGGUAGAGAAUACCAAGGCGCUUGAGAGAACUCGGGUGAAGGAACUAGGCAAAAUGGUGCCGUAACUUCGGGAGAAGGCACGCUGACACGUAGGUGAAGUGAUUUACUCAUGGAGCUGAAGUCAGUCGAAGAUACCAGCUGGCUGCAACUGUUUAUUAAAAACACAGCACUGUGCAAACACGAAAGUGGACGUAUACGGUGUGACGCCUGCCCGGUGCCGGAAGGUUAAUUGAUGGGGUCAGCGCAAGCGAAGCUCCUGAUCGAAGCCCCGGUAAACGGCGGCCGUAACUAUAACGGUCCUAAGGUAGCGAAAUUCCUUGUCGGGUAAGUUCCGACCUGCACGAAUGGCGUAAUGAUGGCCAGGCUGUCUCCACCCGAGACUCAGUGAAAUUGAACUCGCUGUGAAGAUGCAGUGUACCCGCGGCAAGACGGAAAGACCCCGUGAACCUUUACUAUAGCUUGACACUGAACAUUGAGCCUUGAUGUGUAGGAUAGGUGGGAGGCUUUGAAGUGUGGACGCCAGUCUGCAUGGAGCCGACCUUGAAAUACCACCCUUUAAUGUUUGAUGUUCUAACGUGGACCCGUAAUCCGGGUUGCGGACAGUGUCUGGUGGGUAGUUUGACUGGGGCGGUCUCCUCCUAAAGAGUAACGGAGGAGCACGAAGGUUGGCUAAUCCUGGUCGGACAUCAGGAGGUUAGUGCAAUGGCAUAAGCCAGCUUGACUGCGAGCGUGACGGCGCGAGCAGGUGCGAAAGCAGGUCAUAGUGAUCCGGUGGUUCUGAAUGGAAGGGCCAUCGCUCAACGGAUAAAAGGUACUCCGGGGAUAACAGGCUGAUACCGCCCAAGAGUUCAUAUCGACGGCGGUGUUUGGCACCUCGAUGUCGGCUCAUCACAUCCUGGGGCUGAAGUAGGUCCCAAGGGUAUGGCUGUUCGCCAUUUAAAGUGGUACGCGAGCUGGGUUUAGAACGUCGUGAGACAGUUCGGUCCCUAUCUGCCGUGGGCGCUGGAGAACUGAGGGGGGCUGCUCCUAGUACGAGAGGACCGGAGUGGACGCAUCACUGGUGUUCGGGUUGUCAUGCCAAUGGCACUGCCCGGUAGCUAAAUGCGGAAGAGAUAAGUGCUGAAAGCAUCUAAGCACGAAACUUGCCCCGAGAUGAGUUCUCCCUGAGACUU
rnacentral:rRNA from 1 species